rnacentral:lncRNA from 1 species
AAAAAUCUGAGAGGAAAAAGGGAGAAAGAUGAGGAACCAGAAGAAGGUAGAGGGAUCGGAGUAGCGGCUGAAAAGAAAGAAAAUUUUUCUGAGUGACAACAAGGGAACCAAAGAAGCAGCUAGCCACCAAGUCAGCAAGGAAAUCAGCUCAUCGUUUCUGUCCAAGAACGAUGGCGCCGAGAGAAACCAGAUAAGGAAAAACAAAAGAUUGAGAGAGAGCUUCAAGGAGGCGGUUGGAAGUUAGAGAGAGGAAGGAGAGAUAGCUAAAAGGUGGACGGCAAGAAGGAGGAAGAAAACAGAAAAUAGAAUGGGGGCAGAGUCAGGAAGAAAGGAGAUUUGAAGUUGCAAGGAUGGUGCUGUGUUAUCAUCGCUGGUCUCCAUUUACGUCUUCCGAAAGCCUGGCAGAAUCAUCCGAAUUCUUUUCUUGGUCCUUCCCCGAUUCAUUUUGUGAUUAAGGUAAUAUCCUUAUCUCUUUUAGAAUUAGAAACUGUCUUCCUUUGUUGGUUUGAACUUUUUUGCUAUCUGUUGGUUCAAUGGUCGCUUGUAGCCUUUCAUUUUAGUCCGUAAGUCUGGUUUAAGUUUGGGUUUGAGUAUAUGAUUCACAGUGAGACUGUUAUAUUUGCUUGACUUGUGUGAUGUUUGCCGAUCCUAUUGCCUGGGUUUUAGUUUACUUUAGGCUGAGCAUCGAGCACAAAAUUCGCUGCAACAAACUUGAGGCUCGAUUCGAUACAGCAGUACGGGAAAGAUCAGUUUUUGUUCUCUCUUGGGUUGCUCGUUUGAUGGUAUUGUUUUCAUUUGCUGAUUGUUUAGGAUGCUGUGAGUGUUUUCUAACAAAGAUGUGUUUAGACUUUUCUUGUUGGGGACCGAGAGAUGAAUGCGUAUUCAGACGCUGUUUUUGGCCAUUUGUUGCUGAUUUUCUUUCGUUGAAUGUUCAGUUCGCGUUUUAUCAUUUUUUUAGAUGGAUUGUGCUUGUGUUUUGAUAAAAACGAUGAUUUGUUUGUUCACAAUAGCCCACUAACUCAGCACAUAGGUAUGUUUCGCCUAAAAAAAAAAUACAGCAGCUUACUUGUUUUGUUUUUGUUGAUAGCAGAAAUUCUGUUGCAUUUUUAUCAAUUCGGCCAGACUGCAUUUUCCUUCUUUUUGCCGUUGUUUGCUUUGAACUACCAUGGCUAUGUCUGUUCAGUUUAGGAAGUGUCCGGACUUGAGUUACUGUGCAUGAAUACCCUUGAACUAGGUAAGGAAGACAUGAAACUGCUGGUCGCAGAAUUUGCAGCAGAGCAAGGUUGCCGUGGCUACUUUGCUGUUUUCUUUCACUGUAACCAUGCACUAGGCUUUGGUUUCUUCUAAUCUAUUGGUCAGUUUUGUGUAGAAAGAGGGUGGGGGAAGUGGAAGUUUGGUGCUGAGUUUGCAUAUUUAGAUCUUAAAUACUUGAAGCAUGUUGGAAAACUUGGCUGGAACUUAGACAGUUCAAGUGCCGAACCAGUUCUUGUAUGUUUGUUUUUCCAGAAAUUUGCUGCUUGCGUGACCUUUUGCAUGAUUUUCUGAUGUUUAAACAUAAAGAUCUUAUGUUGGAAAGUGAGAUGAAUGUUUAAUGACCGUGUGGUAUUAGUGGUUUGAGACUUUGAAUUUUUGUUUGUUUGAGAUAAUGAAUCAAAGAGCAAAAUGUGGCUGGAAUGUUGCAGAAAGUUUAAGAAAUGGUUGAAACUUUGUUGCAGAAACAUAGCCUCGUAGCAAUUCAUACGCAUGCAUGAAAUAUUUCUAAAAUUUUCACUUUGACCCUUCAAGUCCUAGAAUAAUUGCAUUUUGAUCAUUCACAUAUCCCCUUGUUUCAUUAAGACCCAAUUAUGUUUUCAUUUCUUGCAAUUGAGUCCUAAAUUGAUUGCAAUUGGAACCAUGACAUGACUCUCUCUUUGCUUUUGGACCCUUGAAGUUCCUAAAAUGUUUGAAUUGGGUUUGGGUGAUUUAUUAAUAUUGCAAUUGGGUCCUUAAUAGUUGCUAUUUUUGGGAAUUUGAUGGAUCAUUCCACUUUUUUGGUAAUCAUGCAUUAUGUGAUUUCAUUUGAGUUGCAAUUAAGGGAAUUUUUGGUGAUUUUCCUUAUACUUUACUAUUUAAUUGGUGCAUUGAUUCCUCUAUUAUUUUGAAGCCAUUCUACUUUUUACUAGCUUCACAAACGGGGGAGGUAUAACUUUCUUUUAUCUUUUUUGUCACUCUCUAAGUGAUCCAACGUGCUAAGUGAGAAUUGCAUGCCUAAUUUGCUAUCCUUACCUUGCUUUAAAUUUCUGUCAUCUACUUCAUUUAUUUUUGCUUUUUCAUUAUUUGUUUGUGGGGUAUGUGUACACCUCUUGGUUUGUAAUAGAUAGGGCUCGGCGAGCAUUUUGUCCAUUUCCCCCUUCCCCUUUUGUUUUAGUUCGCAAAUGUAACAGGCUCCUUAGCUUUAUUGCUUGUUUAUAUGCUAUGUGUUGCUGCUUUGUUAGGGCCUUGCAUCUAGUUGAGCAUGCUAAAUGUUAUGUGCUAUGUGUUUAGGAGUGUUUGGCAUGUCUACUCGCUUUCCAUGGCCAUGAAUGAAUGUGAUGGAUGAAUGUACGUUUCCGCUAGUCCAACGCUAGUCGGAAUUCAUAGAAUGGGCUAGUCCAACGCUAGACCCUUAGGGAUUUCUCCUCGUUAGUACAUCAUUUGCUUGUUCACCACAUAUCACGCAUUUUCCUUAGUUUUAUCAUUUGGCAUGAUCCUCGAACCCCUUCUCCCCUCAUUUUAGGUGUUGCAUCCCAUGCUAGCUAUAGGGUUCAUUUUGUGUGAGUGUCCCCUUCCGAUAAGGGAAACGAGCGAGUGUGGCUACUUGAUAGCCUUAGCACGCUAGUUUCGCCUUCUAAUCAAAGGGAAAAUCGAAGUCGAAAAGUUAGGAGUCUUUCCCGUACCCGAUUUGUUGCAUCCCUCUAGGGUCAUACUUUCAUUUUAUCCCAUCCAUACAUUUUUAACCACAAUUUUUCACAUUUUUCAAACCAUACUUUUUACUACAUUUUACCUAUUACUUGCUUAUUUCCACUUCACAAAUGAAAUUCCACUUUACCUUAUAUAUCUAUUAUUCUAUUUUCAUACACUUGCACACAAAAAACACUUGAAUUUUAUACAAUUUCACACAUGCACCCUUUUUUACAUUCGCACACUUGCACUUAUUAUUUCAUGCAUCUUUCAUACACUCACACACUUGCACACUUGAAUUCGAACUCUCAUUUGCAUUAAUCGACCUCUAUGAGGUUUUCCUCUGUUGGCCGCCACAAUUCAUGUGGUUUGGGACCAAAAGCCUCACAAGAGACAUCAUAGAAUUUAGGAUUGCAUUUUCUUUUCCGUUUUGCAUUCAUGUAGUGCAUCCAAAUGUAAUAAAUUCUUUGAUUAAAACAAGAAAAUCUUUGAUUAAAUCAUGCAACUAGCCUUGGCUAGGUCAAAGGGGUGCCUUGGAUUUUAUCCUUGCCUUCCCCUUUGUCAAAUGUGACUCCCGAACCUUUUUCUUUGGUUUACGUGGACUAGGAGUCGUUUAAAAGGGGUUUCUUACUACUUUUUCCUAUUUUUUUCAAAAAAUUCAUUUUUUAGGUGACUUGGUACACCUUAACUCAUUACCAAGUGGCGACUCCAAUUUUCAUUUCAAAAAACCCUUUUUAAACUAUAACUUUGGGUCAAAUCGUCGCAUUCUCAAAUCCCCAUUUAGACCCAUUUUUCCUUUUAAACCACAAUUUAUUUUCCAAUCACAAAUACAUUUUUUUAAAACCAUUUAUAUUUAUUUAUUUCAUUCAAAAAAAAUGGGGCGCGACACCUACCAAGAGAAAGGUUUUUAUGGAGUAAAUCAAAGUUUUAACGGUUGGUUUGUGAGAUCAAGGCAAGAAAUGGAAGAAACAAGUUGAGAGCUUUCUUUUCUUUUCUUGUUGAGAGGGCUGGCCAAAGGAGCUAAAAAUGAUGAAAUAAAUUGGCCAAAGUUAGCUUUAAAAAAGUAAAAAUAUCUUGGUCAAAAGUCCAAGGAUGAAUUGAAUGGUGACACUUGUCACCUUUUGCUUAAAGUUUAUCUCUUUGUCUCUCUAAUACUAAUCCAUAUAGGUAACUUCUAAUUAUCUCUUAGCACCUUGUAAAAUAAUAUCACUUAAUACAAAACUCUAACAAGUUGUCAAAAAUUUAUCGCAUUUACCGCACUAGCGGGUCCCACGUUGAUAAUACACUUCAAACUUAACGUGGACUAACUUGUAUCAAGGAAAUGAUUUGAAAACUAUAUUCCCUUAUAAAAAUAUAUAAGAAAUUAAUAUAUUGAAGAAAGGCAUAAAAUUAUAGACAAGGAAACAAAAUAAUGUCUCGAAAAUAUAUAAAAAUCUUCGGAUUUUCACACUCAUUCUUUCGGGGCGUCACACGGGUAUUAUCCCACUGACCAAUUAAAGGCAGGCUCGAGUAUUAUCCCACUAACCAAUUAUCAAGACAGGCUCGGGUAUUAUCCCACUAACCUAUUAUCAUGGUAGGCUCGGGUAUUGAUCCCACUGACUAAUUGAAUGGCAGGCUCAGGUAUUGAUCCCACUGACCAAUUGAAGGCAGGUUCAGAUAUUAUCUACUAGCCGAUGUUAUGGUAGGCUCGGGUAUUAUCCCACUAAUCAAUAGUACGGUUGGUUCAGAUAUUAUCUCAUUGACUAAUUGAAUGGCAGGCUCGGGUAUUGAUUCCACUGACCAAUUGAAGGCAGGUUCGGAUAUUAUCUACUAGCCGAUGCUAUGGCAGGCUCUGGUAUUAUCCCACUGAUCAAUGGUACGGUUGGUUCAGAUAUUAUCUCACUGACCAAUUGAAUGGCAGGCUCGGGUAUUGAUCCCAUUGAUCAAUUGAAUGGCAGGUUCGGGUGUUGAUUCCACUGACCAAUUGGAGGCAAGCUCGGGUAUUGAUUCCACUGACUAAUUGAAUGGCAGGCUCGGGUAUUCAUCCUACUGACCAAUGACAGGCAGGUUCGAGUAUUCAUCCACUGACCAAUUGAACGACGGGAUUGGGUUUUAUCCCACUAAUUGUUAACAUCACGUUGGGCUUGGAUUUUAUGCCACCAACCUCGGUAGGCUUGGAUAUGUCCUACUGACCGUCCUAUUAUGAUGGAUUUGGAAUUUAAGCAGGCUUGGGUUAUAUCCCAUUGACCAUUUUAUCGUAUCGAAUUUGGAAUGUCGGUAGGCUUGGGUUGUAUCCCACUGACUGAUGUUAUGGCAGGUUCGGGUCUUAUCCCGUUGACUUUUUUUACGUUUACAGGUUUUAGUUCACAGCAGAAUAACCAAAUGUAAGUAUUUAGUGUCUACGUCUUUGUCUCGAGUCUCUUCGAAACUCAGACAAAGAGGGGCGAACUGUAGACACCAAAAAAUUCAUUAAUUCAAUUUUAUACUUUAUUUACUUAGCUUUACUCAUGCAAUUUUAGCUUUGUUUAUUUAAAUCAAUUUUAUUUUUAUUAUUAUUUAUUCUUGUUUCAUAUUUAUUAUUUUAUUUUUUUAAGGUUGCAAAUAGUAAUUGGUGUU